AUACUUAGGGUGCAAGCGUUAAUCGGAAUUACUGGGCGUAAAGCGCUCGUAGGCGGCUUGUAAAGUCGGAUGUGAAAUCCCCGGGCUCAACCUGGGAACUGCAUUCGAUACUGGCAGGCUAGAGUAUAGUAGAGGCAAGUGGAAUUUCGGGUGUAGCGGUGAAAUGCGUAGAUAUCCGAAGGAACAUCAGUGGCGAAGGCGACUUGCUGGACUAAUACUGACGCUGAGGAGCGAAAGCGUGGGGAGCAAACGGGAUUAGAAACCCCUGUAGUCC
rnacentral:rRNA from 1 species